GCUGCUUUGACUAUUUGAGCUGUAGGACACU
rnacentral:piRNA from 1 species